rnacentral:rRNA from 1 species
GACGAACGCUGGCGGCGUGCCUAAUACAUGCAAGUCGAACGCAGUGGGGACGGGUGAGUAACACGUGGGUAACCCCCCAUCAGAGGGGAUAACACUUGGAAACAGGUGCUAAACCAAAACGGAUGGUGGGGCCGGCGGUGCAUUAGCUAGUGGGUGAGUUAACGGCUCACAAAGGCAACGAUGCAUAGCGGACCGGAGGGGGUGUUCGCCCACACGGGGCCUGAUACACGGCCCAGACUCCUACGGGGGGCAGCAGUAGGGAAUCUUGGGCAAUGGAGGAAAGUCUGACCGGGCAACGCCAGGUGAGUGAGGAGGUUUUUCGAAUGUUAAAACUCUUUUGUUAGAGAAGCGGUAUCUAACCAGAAAGCCACGGCUAACUACGUGCCAGCAGCCGCGGUAAUUC